UGACUUUCUGAACAAUUCAGUUAAAUCCAGGAGUUCUUUAGAUUGGAUGCUCUGCUGAGUGUUACUAUUCAUUCACAAACAAAGGGUAUUUAGAUAUGAAUGAGGGUGCUACUCUCCUUCACUCUAUUCAGGAGAAUUAAACAAGAACAAGAACAGAGACAAAGAUGAUUUAACUGAUCAAGAGUACAAAGUUCGAGGCUGGGCACUGGUCGUUCAUGCUUGUAAUCCCAGCACUUAAGGAGGCAGAGGUGAGAGAAUAGCUUGAGCCCAGGAGUUCAAGACCAGGCUGGGCAACAUAGCAAGACAAAAAGGAAAAAAAAAAGGAGGGCAAAGUUUGAAAGUAUAGGUCAGAUUGGCUUUGUUGCUCUCCUUCUAAUGAAAGCUUUCAGCCCUAGAACAUGUCAGAUAGCUUUUUGGGAAUUGUCUUUUGUAGUGUUUUUUGUUGUCUUUCUGGUUUCUAAAAAUGAGAAUGGUUUUUCUGAUAUCAGAGUAACCCAUAAAGGUGUGAAUAAAGUGAAGAUCAUUCAUAUACUUACCAGUCAGUAAUAACCACUGGGAA
rnacentral:lncRNA from 1 species